rnacentral:rRNA from 1 species
CAUGGCUCAGAAUGAACGCUGGCGGCAUGCCUAACACAUGCAAGUCGAACGAAGGCUUCGGCCUUAGUGGCGCACGGGUGCGUAACGCGUGGGAAUCUGCCCUUGGGUUCGGAAUAACAGUUAGAAAUGACUGCUAAUACCGGAUGAUGUCGUAAGACCAAAGAUUUAUCGCCCAAGGAUGAGCCCGCGUAGGAUUAGCUAGUUGGUGAGGUAAAAGCUCACCAAGGCGACGAUCCUUAGCUGGUCUGAGAGGAUGAUCAGCCACACUGGGACUGAGACACGGCCCAGACUCCUACGG